rnacentral:rRNA from 1 species
GAUGAACGCUGGCGGCGUGCCUAAUACAUGCAAGUCGAGCGAACGGACGAGAAGCUUGCUUCUCUGAUGUUAGCGGCGGACGGGUGAGUAACACGUGGAUAACCUACCUAUAAGACUGGGAUAACUUCGGGAAACCGGAGCUAAUACCGGAUAAUAUUUUGAACCGCAUGGUUCAAAAGUGAAAGACGGUCUUGCUGUCACUUAUAGAUGGAUCCGCGCUGCAUUAGCUAGUUGGUAAGGUAACGGCUUACCAAGGCAACGAUGCAUAGCCGACCUGAGAGGGUGAUCGGCCACACUGGAACUGGGACACGGUCCAGACUCCUACGGGAGGCAGCAGUAGGGAAUCUUCCGCAAUGGGCAAAAGCCUGACGGAGCAACGCCGCGUGAUUGAGGAGGGUCUUCGGAUCGUAAGACUCUGUUAUUAGGGAAGAACAUAUGUGUAAGUAACUGUGCACAUCUUGACGGUACCUAAUCAGAAAGCCACGGCUAACUACGUG